rnacentral:tRNA from 1 species
GGGUGUAGUUCAAUGGCAGAACAUCAGCUUCCCAAGCUGACCACGAGGGUUCGAUUCCCUUUGAUGUUCU